GCGCUUAACACAUGCAAGUCGCACGAGAAAGGGGGCAACCCUGAGUAAAGUGGCGCACGGGUGAGUAACACGUGGAUCAUCUACCUUUUGGUGGGGAAUACCCCUGGGAAACUGGGGACAAUUCCGCAUAAUCUCGCGAGAGGAAAGCAGCAAUGCGCCGAUAGAGGAGUCCGCGGCUGAUUAGCUUGUUGGUGAGGUAAUGGCUCACCAAGGCAAAGAUCGGUAGCCGGCCUGAGAGGGCACACGGCCACACUGGCACUGAAACACGGGCCAGA
rnacentral:rRNA from 1 species